GAUGAACGCUGGCGGCGUGCCUAAUACAUGCAAGUCGAGCGAACAGAUGAGGAGCUUGCUCCUCUGACGUUAGCGGCGGACGGGUGAGUAACACGUGGAUAACCUACCUAUAAGACUGGGAUAACUUCGGGAAACCGGAGCUAAUACCGGAUAAUAUAUUGAACCGCAUGGUUCAAUAGUGAAAGACGGUUUUGCUGUCACUUAUAGAUGGAUCCGCGCCGCAUUAGCUAGUUGGUAAGGUAACGGCUUACCAAGGCGACGAUGCGUAGCCGACCUGAGAGGGUGAUCGGCCACACUGGAACUGAGACACGGUCCAGACUCCUACGGGAGGCAGCAGUAGGGAAUCUUCCGCAAUGGGCGAAAGCCUGACGGAGCAACGCCGCGUGAGUGAUGAAGGUCUUCGGAUCGUAAAACUCUGUUAUUAGGGAAGAACAAAUGUGUAAGUAACUAUGCACGUCUUGACGGUACCGAAUCAGAAAGCCACGGCUAACUACGU
rnacentral:rRNA from 1 species